UACGUAGGGGGCAAGCGUUGUCCGGAUUUAUUGGGCGUAAAGAGCGUGUAGGCGGUUAUACAGGUCCGCCGUGAAAACUGGAGGCUUAACCUCCAGACGUCGGUGGAAACCGUAUGACUAGAGUCCGGAAGAGGAGAGUGGAAUUCCUGGUGUAGCGGUGAAAUGCGCAGAUAUCAGGAAGAACACCCGUGGCGAAGGCGGCUCUCUGGGACGGUACUGACGCUGAGACGCGAAAGCGUGGGGAGCAAACAGG
rnacentral:rRNA from 1 species